rnacentral:rRNA from 1 species
AUACGGAGGAUUCAAGCGUUAUCCGGAUUUAUUGGGUUUAAAGGGUGCGUAGGCGGUUUUGAUAAGUUAGAGGUGAAAUAUCGGGGCUUAACUCCGAAACUGCCUCUAAUACUGUUAGACUAGAGAAUAGUUGCGGUAGGCGGAAUGUAUGGUGUAGCGGUGAAAUGCUUAGAGAUCAUACAGAACACCGAUUGCGAAGGCAGCUUACUAAGCUACAACUGACACUGAAGCACGAAAGCGUGGGGAUC